rnacentral:rRNA from 1 species
UACGGAGGGGGCUAGCGUUGUUCGGAAUUACUGGGCGUAAAGCGCGCGUAGGCGGACCUGCAAGUCGGGGGUGAAAGCCCGAGGCUCAACCUCGGAACUGCCUUCGAUACUGCGGGUCUCGAGUCCGGGAGAGGUGAGUGGAAUUCCUAGUGUAGAGGUGAAAUUCGUAGAUAUUAGGAAGAACACCAGUGGCGAAGGCGGCUUGCCAGAACGCGCUCGACGGUGAGGGAUGAAAGCUGGGGGAGCAAACCGG